AGAGUUUGAUUCUGGCUCAGAACGAACGCUGGCGGCGUGGAUAAGACAUGCAAGUCGAGCGCUGAUUACAGGGUAGCAAUAUUCUGUGGUCGGAGCGGCGCAAGGGUGCGUAACACGUGGGUAAUUUGCCAUGAAGUCUGGAAUAACUUGCUGAAAGGCGAGCUAAUGCCGGAUGUGAAAAUUGGGAGGCAUCUUCUGAUUUUCAAAGCUGGGGACCGUAAGGCCUGGCGCUUCAUGAUAAGCCCGCGGCCUAUCAGCUAGUUGGUGAGGUAACGGCUCACCAAGGCUAAGACGGGUAGCUGGUCUGAGAGGACGACCAGCCACACUGGAACUGAGACACGGUCCAGACACCUACGGGUGGCAGCAGUCGAGAAUUUUUCACAAUGGGCGAAAGCCUGAUGGAGCGACGCCGCGUGGGGGAUGAAUGGCUUCGGCCCGUAAACCCCUGUCAUUCGGGAUCAAUGCGUUUGGGUGAACAUCCCAAACGUUGAUAGUACCGGAAGAGGAAGGGACGGCUAACUCUGUGCCAGCAGCCGCGGUAAUACAGAGGUCCCAAGCGUUGUUCGGAUUUACUGGGCGUAAAGGGUGCGUAGGUGGUUGGGUAAGUCUGAUGUGAAAUCUCGGAGCUUAACUCCGAAACGGCAUUGGAUACUAUUCAGCUUGAGAGUUGGAGGGGGGACUGGAAUUCUCGGUGUAGCAGUGAAAUGCGUAGAUAUCGAGAGGAACACCAGUGGCGAAGGCGAGUCCCUGGACAACUUCUGACACUGAGGCACGAAAGCCAGGGGAGCAAACGGGAUUAGAUACCCCGGUAGUCCUGGCCCUAAACGGUGCACGUUUGCUGUAAAAGGAAUCGACCCCUUUUGUGGCGAAGCCAACGCGUUAAACGUGCCGCCUGGGAAGUACGGUCGCAAGAUUAAAACUCAAAGAAAUUGACGGGGGCCUGCACAAGCGGUGGAGUAUGUGGCUNNGUCCCGCAACGAGCGCAACCCCUGUGUCCUGUUGCCACCCGGCUGAAAGGCUGGAGCACUCUGGACAGACUGCCUCGCUUUAACGAGGAGGAAGGUGGGGAUGACGUCAAGUCAGGAUGGCCCUUACGGCCAGGGCUGCACACGUACUACAAUGCCCGGUACAAAGGGAAGCAAGACUGUAAAGUGGAGCAAAUCCCCCAAAACCGGGCCCAGUUCAGAUUGUCGUCUGCAACUCGACGGCAUGAAGCUGGAAUCGCUAGUAAUGGCGCAUCAGCUACGGCGCCGUGAAUACGUUCCCAGGCCUUGUACACACCGCCCGUCACAUCAUGAAAGCCGUUUGUACCCGAAGUCGCCCCUUAAAAGGUGCCGAAGGUAUGGAUGGUGAUUGGGAUGAAGUCGUAACAAGGUAGCCGUAGGGGAACCUGCGGCUG
rnacentral:rRNA from 1 species